CUGAGGCAGAAGGAUUGCUUGAGCCCAGGAGGUCAAGGCUACAGUGAGCUGUGAUCACAUCACUGCACUCCAGCCUGGGUGAUAGAGCAAGACCCUGUCUCACAAAAAAAUAAAAAUAAAUAAAUAAAAAUAAAAAAUUAAAAAAAAAAACAAGACAUGCCCUGUCUCUCCUUGAAGUGAUUUCAGUGGAUUCCUUUCUGGAUGGUGCUGUAGCCCAGGGUACAUUGAAUUCCAAUCUCUUUUCUGUGUCCAGCUACUUUGCCAUUCACCCUUUGUUGGAGGGGAGGUGCAAUGAGGAAGAGAAGAGCAAAAACGACUCCAGCCCUUCUACAGCUUGCCUGGAUCCCAGCCAAAGCAGUCGCAGUUAGACACCACUCCCUGAGAAGUGACAGUUCCAACACAAUCUACGCAAACAGCUGGCAACCCUUGGAGCUAAUCUAUAAGGUGUCACCUGUGCCCUUUUAUUGUCCAGCAGAUCUCAACUCAGGCUGUAAAGCAUCUGGGGAUUCAUAGCCUCCAGCCUGUGUGUCCUUUGGGGUUUCCUCAGAACGGACAACUGAAACCUGAAUUUUGGGUCUAAAAUGAAUUUUAGGGCCCAGGCCUAUUCCCUGGGCAAUGAUUUGAAGAUCCCUCCUUCCCAAUAUGUCUAACCCAAAAAACAUCCCAGGCUGCCCGUUAAGAUGCCUGAAAAUAAUUCACUUAUUCACUCAACAAACAUGUUUUGAACACCUACUGCAUUGGCACUGCACCAGGCACUAAUCACAACUGUAGUAACAGUGACUCAGGCAAUCUAGCGCAAGCUCUCUGAACAAACGGGCCCUGGACUUACUUGCCACUGAAUCCUCAAUAGCCCUGGUUCAGAGCUAUUCAAAAUAUAUCCAGAGAAAGAAUGGGAACAGAGAGGGGGCUGCUAUUGUGAAAAUAAGUAUCUACUGAGGGUUGACUUGUGGCAGGUACUGCUCUAGAUGUUGAGGAGACAACGGUGAGCAAAACAGACAAAAGCCCUGGCCUCAAGGAUCUUACAGUCUAGGGGGCUGAAGAGGAGACUGGGAGACAGAAAAUGAAAAACAUAAGUAAACAGGAUGGAACAUAAAUGGAGAUGAGGACUAUGGAGAAAAAUUAAGUGGAGAGAGAGCUAAGAGUUUGCAGAAUGGCAGGCUGACAUUUUCAGUGGGGAAGGCAUCACUGAAAAGGAGGUAUUUGAGCAAAACUCUGAGGGGUUGAGGGAAGAGGCCAUGUAGCCAGCAAAGGAGCAGCAUCCCAGGCAGAGAAAACUGUGGAUACAACAGAGAGCGAGGUCCAGGACCAGCAGGCAACAUGGCUGAAAUGCUGUGAGCAAGAGGAGAGACAAAGAGGAGUGGGUCUUGGACGCCAGGUCACGCACCAUUGUAAAAUGCAUGGCUUUUACUCUGCAUGAAAGAAGAAGUCUUUGGAAGAAUUUCGCAAUGCUCAAGAGUUAUAUGCACAUCUUACAUAAAUAGUACUCCUGUUAAAUUAUUCAGUAAACAAAGUGGUUUUUUAAAUUUCACUGUCAUCAUAUGACUCCUGAUGGGAUGCGCUGAAAAAGACACAGUAUCACUUUUGUGGUAUUCCUGUCAAAAAUGCAUAUAAUAUCUGCUGUCAAUGGGCACAGAAAAAAAUUUUUUUAAAGAAAAAAUAAUUUUAAAAAUGCAUAUGAUGGCUAGGCAUGAUGGCUCACACUUGUAGUCCCACCACUUUGGGAGACUGAGGCAGGUGGAUCGCCUGAGCCCGGGAGUUCAAGACCACCCUGGGCAACAUGGGGAAACCCUGUAUCUACAAAAAAAAAAAAAAAAAUUAGCCAGGCAUGGUGGCACAGACCUCUAGUUCCAGCUACCAGGGAGGCUGAGGUGGGAGGAUGGCUUGAGCCUGCGAGGUCGAGGCUACAGUGAGCCGUGAGCAUGCCACUGCACUCCAGUCUGGGUGAAAGAACCAGAUCCUCUCUUGAAAAAUAAUAAUAGGCCGGGCACAGUGGCUCACACCUGGUAUCCCAGCACUUUUGAGAGGCGGAGGUGGGUGGAUCACUUGAGGUCAGGAGUUUAAGACCAGCCUGGCCAACAUGGUGAAACCCUGUCUCCACCAAAAAUACAAAAAUUAGCCAGGCUUGGUGGCAUGCAUCUGUAGUCCCAGCUACUCGGGAGGCUGAGGCAGGACAAUCACUUGAACCCGGGGGAGCAGAAGUUGCAGUGAGCCGAGAUUGGACCACUGUACUCCAGCCCAGGCCACAGAGCGAGACUCCAUCUCUAAAAAAUAAUAAUAAUGAUGAUAUAAAAUAAAUAAAAAUGCAUAUGAUAACCUGAAUCAUAUGAGGGAACAUCAGACAAACCCAGAUUAAGGAACCCUCUACAAAACAACUGGCUUGUCUUCUUCAAGAAUGCAAUAUCAUGAAAGAUGAAGAAAGGUUAAAGUAUGGUCAUAGACUGAACAUGAGAAACAUAACAACUGAAUGUAAUACAUGAUCUUGAUUGCAUCUUGGGUCAGCAAAAAAAAAAAAUAAAGCAUAUUCUUGGGACAAUUGGUAAUAUGUGAAUAUGGAAAGCAUAUUUGAUGGUAUUAAUGUUAAAUUUACUGAAUUUGACAAUUGUGCUGUAGUAACAUGAGAAUGUCUUUGUUCAUAGGAUAUAAGUGCUAAAAUAUUUAGGAGUAAGGGGACAUAAUGUCACAACUUGUUCUCAAGUGGUUCAGCAAAAAUUAUUGUACAUUUAUACACACAUAUACAUACAGCUAGAGAAAGAGAAAUAAAGUAAAUGUGAUAAAAUGUUAAUUGGUGAAUCUAGAUGAAAGAAAUUCAAGAAUCGUUUGAACUAUUCUUGCAGCUUCCCUGGAACUUCACAAUUAUUUCAAACUAAAAAGCUUAAAAAUUAAAGAAAUAGAGCAGCUUCAGUCAACUUAUGCCAGGCCUGCCCUAUAGACACAGGAUGGAGGAGGAAGCAGCUCAGGAAGACCCAAGUCCAUCCCUCCCUGUGCCUAACAAGUCACUCACCAGCUUCACCGUGCAAGGGCCGGCAUAGCCAAGCCCAGCUAUGGUGCUGAAGCCCUGGGAAUGGGGGUGGAGGGAGCAUUGCCCUCUGUCACACAGGCUCAUGACCUCAGGGUCAUAACCUCAGCUUCUCUGUUACUCUCAUCCCCACAGCCAGGCACCAAUCCCAUCAGUCCUCCUUCGGCUGUCUGAGCUGCAUUCAAGGAUCCUUAGACCAGGUUCCAACCUAGCUCUCCUGCCUAGAAUCCUGGGCCACUAGGCCCCCCAACCCACCCACAAGAGCUGCAGGCUCCACUCCUCCCUCCCUGCUCCCUGUUCCUCAUCAUGCUCUGCCCUAGGCUGCCUGCAUCCUUACAAAUGUUGAGUCCACCUGAGCCUUGACUGUGUCUUCCUGAAGGACACAAGAAUGCUCAGGGACUCGGUAACUGAAUUGAGUACCUGGGCAUGGGACUUUAUUGCAUAUGGGGCUUCUACCUGGCCCUGAACCCACACAACACUAUGCCUCAGUUUCCCCUCUUUGUGCCCAGAGUGUACCCUCCUCUAAUUCCACGCUCUCCACCUCCGUGAAGCCCCUGCAGAGUCACUGAUCUAAAAUGCAGAACCCUGGCUGGGCAUGGUGGCUCACACCUGUAAUCCCAGCACUUUGGAUGGGGGAGACCAAGGUGGGCAGAUCACCUGAGGUCAGGAGUUCAAGACCAGCCUGGCCAACAUGGUGAAACCUGGUCUCUACUAAAAAUACAAAAAUUAGCCAAGCAUGGUGGCGCACGUCUGUAAUUUCACCUACUCGGGAGGCUGAGGCAUGAGAAUCACUUGAACCCGGGAGGCAGAGUUUGUAGUGAGCCAAGAUCACGCCACUGCACUCCAGCCUGGGUGACAGAAGGAGACUCUGUCUCAAAAAAUAAAUAAAUAAAUAAAAAUUAAAAAUGAAAUAAAUAAAUUAAUUCAAUUAAAUUAAAUGCGGGAUCCAGGUUUCAGAGCAUCCUGGACCCCAGAACUGGAGAAAGAGGGGAGCAGCCCUCAGCUGGGAUCCCCAGGAGUAAAUGUUAGAUGGCUCCAUGCCUGGCUGACAGCUUUAGGUUUGCUGUGGAGCUUCCUCAUAUUGUCUCCUUCUUCUGCCCCAACCCUGCAUGUCCCUAAUAAUUUCCAGGCUCCUGUGGCAUCUGGAUGGCUGAAGAAGCCGGGGAGAUGAGGGACCAUGCCUUCCAGCUUCUUCCUGGCUGCUGGCCUCGCCCUCCCCUCCCUGGGCUCAGCUUUCCUGCCUCAGGGGUCCAUCCAUCUGUCUCUGAGCUCGAGAACCACCCACUUCCUUGGGACUGCUUCUCUUCUCUCAUGCCACAAUUGGAGGAUGCAAUUUUCAUCAUCUUUACAGGCGGCUGGAAGGAGGCUUCUCUCUCCACUACACGGAAGGGUAAAUUGAAGCCAGUGGGAAGGAAUCUCCUCACCCAAGACUUCCUGGAUUGCUGGUGGCAGGGCCAGAUACCCCUCUCACAGACCUCCCAGUGCACUGCCAGCCUGUCCUGUCUGAUUUAGACUGUCAGAGCUGUCAGGAGCUGCUCGGAGUCAAGUUCCAGAUGACUGUGUAUGUGGCACAAGCAGAGGCUCUGGCUCUGAUCUCCCUGAGGGGCACAGCUCCUAGUCCCUCCCUCGCCCCACGCCAGGUAGGACCUCCUUACCUUUGCCCUGAUACACCUUGAGGAGCAGGAGGAGUA
rnacentral:lncRNA from 1 species